rnacentral:rRNA from 1 species
UACGUAGGGUGCAAGCGCUAAUCGGAAUUACUGGGCGUAAAGCGUGCGCAGGCGGUUUUGUAAGUCUGUCGUGAAAUCCCCGGGCUUAACCUGGGAAUGGCGAUGGAGACUGCAAGGCUAGAGUUUGGCAGAGGGGGGGUAGAAUUCCACGUGUAGCAGUGAAAUGCGUAGAGAUGUGGAGGAACACCGAUGGCGAAGGCAGCCCCCCUGGGUCAAGACUGACGCUCAUGCACGAAAGCGUGGGGAGCAAACAGG